rnacentral:lncRNA from 1 species
GGGUUACCUUGGUCAUGUAUACAAAUAUAAAGCUUGGAAAGUUAUGUGAAAGGUAUGGUUCCAGGGAUCGAACCCAGUGCCUCACACAUGCUAGGCAAGUGCUCUACACUGAGCCACAACCCCAGCCCUAGGUACAUGUAUAAAAUCAGGAAUUUUUCCCUCUGAGCUUCCUCUGUAAUCUGCUCAUCAGUUUGCUUGUUCUCUGCCACAGGAAGGGCUUGGGCAAGCAGAAUUUCUGGAGUGCCAGUGCAAGUGUUCAGGCUUGAAUUUGCUGAGAUGAGGAAUUUUGCCUUGUUCAUAGCUACUACCUCACAUCCUAUAAAAGGUGUCUGACAAAUAUUUAGCAAUUAUAUGAGGCUGAAUCGCAAGUCCCAUCUCUAGUUGUUAAGGGGACCUAAGUGGCUAAUUGGGUUUGGUUGAACAACAACCAGGUAAACAGAGCUGUCUGCAGCCUUGCAAAAAUCAAGAGACUGCUGGGGAACUUGGAAAGGAGGAAUAUUGUCAAAACUGUCAUCUGCACUUGGUUAUUGGGUUUGUUCCCAUCCUGCUCUUCUGUUAAGCCCCUGUGACUUGGAUCUAAGAGGACCAAAAAGUUUUCAGCAGCUUUCCCCAGACCUCUGGGGCCAGAGGUUGUGCAGAUGUUUCCUUCGGAAAAUCUCUGGCCAAGAAUAGCAUUCCUUUUGGGGAGGGGGUUCAAGUUGGACUGUGUCUGGAAUGUUGCUUUUCUUGGUUUGUGUAAAUGUAUUGCUGGCAAAACAGCUGUUGGGACUGGGAAAGGCGCUCAGGGUUCCCCAUCUCACAGCGGGAGUGCUAGACGCCAGGAUAUGGGUGGCUUUCAUGACUGCAGCUUUUCUGGAGCUCUUCAGAGGGGAACCUGAAAUGCUGAGUCAUUCUUCAAUGGCUUUCAAAUCUCUUCAGUUCCUAAAUUUGUGUGUGUGUGUGAGAGUUUACUCAGAGUUACUGAGGAUUGAAACCAGGGUUUUGUACAUACUAUGCAAAUGCUACCAAUGAGGUACAGCCCUAGACUGUCCCUUUUAUUCUUUUUAGUUAUACAUGAUAUAGGCAUAUCACACAUACAUGGAGUAUAACUUCCCAUUCUUAUGGUUGUACAUGUAUGUAUACAUACACUGGUCACCUCUUGCACUUUAGGAGUCUUGUUGAAGAAUUUGUAUUCAUAUGUGAACAUAGGAAAGUUGUGUCCAAUUCAUUCUCCUGUCUCCCAUUCUCAUUCCCCGCUCCAAUCUGAUGACCCCCAACCUCCUUAGGGCAAUGAGUGGGGGUUGCCUGUUGUGAGUCAGCAUCUACAUAUCAGAACAUUCAGCCUUUGGUUAUUGAGGAUUGGCUUAUUUCACUUAAUCUUGAGUCUCCAGUUCCAUCCAUUUAUUGGCAAAUGCCAUAACUUCAUUCUUUAUGGCUAAGUAAUAUUACAUUGUAUAUACAAACCACAUUUUCUUUAUCCAUUCAUCUGUUGAAGUGCACCUAGGUUGAUUCCCAUAGCUUAGCUGUUGUGAAUUAAGCUUCUAUAAACAUUGAUGUGGCUGUGUCAUUGCAGUAUGCUGAUUUUUUAAGUCCUUUGGGUAUAGUCCAAGGAGUGGAAUAACUGGGUCAAGUGGUGGUUUUAUUCUAAGUUUUCUUUUUCUUUUUUAACUUGUAGUUGGACACAAUACCUUUAUUUUUAUUUUUAUGUGGUGGUGAGGCUCGAACUCAGCACCUCCUACGUGCUAGGUGAGUGCUCUACAGCUGAGCCACAACCUCAGCCCCCCAUCCUAGGUUUUCUGAGGAAUCUCCAUACUGCUUUCCAGAGUGGUUGCACCAAUUUGCAGUCCCACCAGCAAUGUAUGAGUAUAUCUUUUCCCCCACAUCCUUGCCAACAUUGUUACUUGUAUUCUUGAUAAUUGCCAUUCAGACUGGAGUGAGAUGAAAUCUCAGUGUAGUUUUAAUUUUGAUGUAUCUAGUUACUAAUGAUGUUGAAUACUUUUUCAUCAUAUUUGUUGACAGGUCAUAUUUCUUCUUCUAUGAAGUGUCCAGUUCCUUUGCCCAUUUAUUGAUUGGGCGGUUCCAUUUAUUGAUUGGAACAUGGUAGGGAUUCAUUAAACACCUGCUUGGCUGUGGUUGUUUUGGAGACCUGAAAGCCCAACUUUGUAGGGCUCAUGUGAUGUUUGUUUUUGUUGUUUUGUUUUUUGAGUUCUUUGUAUCUCCUGGAGAUUAAUGCUCUAUCUGAUGUGCAGGUGGCAAAGAUAUUCUCCCAUUCUGUAGACUCUCAUCACAUUCUUGAUUGUUUCCUUUGCUGUGAAGAAGCUUUUUAGUUUGAUACCAUCCCAUUUAUUGAUUCUUGAUUUUACCUCUUGCACUUUAGGAAUCUUGUUGAAGAAUUUGUUUCCUAAAGCACCAUAAUGGAGAUUUGAGCCUACUUUUUCUGCUAGUAGGUGCAGGGUUUCUGCUCUAAUGGCUAGGUCCUUGAUCCACUUUGAGUUGAGAUUUGGGCAGAGUGAGAGGGGUCUAAUUUCCUUUUGCUACACACAGAUUUCCAGUUUUCCCAGCACCACUUGUUGAAGAGGCUAUCUUUUCUCUAAUGUAUGAUUAUGGAUCCUUUACAUAGUGUAACUGUAUUUGUGUGCCCAGACCCCCUUUUUAUUAUUUUAUCUUUGAAGCAGAGCCUUGAAUUUGUCAUUCUCAUGCCUCAGCCUCCCAAGUAAUUGAGAUUACAAGGCAUUGUCACUGUGACCAACCUAAAUUCUGUUUUUCUUUUUGGAAACAGGGUCUCACAGAGUUACUGAGUCUGCUUUGAACUUGCAUUCCUCCUGCCUCAGCCUCCCUAGUCU